rnacentral:rRNA from 1 species
AAUCAACGCUGGCGGCGUGCCUAACACAUGCAAGUCGAGCGGGGUGAUGGUGCUUGCACUAUCUCUUAGCGGCGGACGGGUGAGUAAUGCUUAGGAAUCUGCCUAUUAGUGGGGGACAACAUCUCGAAAGGGAUGCUAAUACCGCAUACGUCCUACGGGAGAAAGCAGGGGAUCACUUGUGACCUUGCGCUAAUAGAUGAGCCUAAGUCGGAUUAGCUAGUGGGGGGGGUAAAGGCCUACCAAGGCGACGAUCUGUAGCGGGUCUGAGAGGAUGAUCCGCCACACUGGGACCGAGACACGGCCCAGACUCCUACGGGAGGCAGCAGUGGGGAAUAUUGGACAAUGGGGGGAACCCUGAUCCAGCCAUGCCGCGUGUGUGAAGAAGGCCUUAUGGUUGUAAAGCACUUUAAGCGAGGAGGAGGCUCUUUUGGUUAAUACCCAGAAUGAGUGGACGUUACUCGCAGAAUAAGCACCGGCUAACUCUGUGCCAGCAGCCGCCGUAAAAC